rnacentral:rRNA from 1 species
AUGCAAAAGGAUGAAGGGGAGCGGCUUCUCGAGUUCCCUAGAAGAACAUUAGACAAGAACAGAGAUUUGUCUCUUCUCUCUAGAAUACUAAUGAUUUGUCUUUACUUGGUAGAAUACAUAAUUCUUGCUAAUGAAAAACUGCCACAAAAUUAUGGCAUCUACUAUGAUGCUCUGAUACUGUCCUUUAGUAGCGAUCAAGGGUUGAGUUUCAGCAGCAAUCCUUCUUUUUCUUGGAGAUCUUCGGUGGCUCUAAAGUUCUUUUACCGCCUACUCCUAUCCACUAUCUAUUUCCAUGAUCACAUAGCGUAA